rnacentral:rRNA from 1 species
UAGGGAAUCUUCCACAAUGGACGAAAGUCUGAUGGAGCAACGCCGCGUGAGUGAAGAGGGUUUUCGGAUCGUAAAGCUCUGUUGUUGGUGAAGAAGGAUAGAGGCAGUAACUGGUCUUUAUUUGACGGUAAUCAACCAGAAAGUCACGGCUAACUACGUGCCAG